rnacentral:rRNA from 1 species
UACGGGGGGGGCAAGCGUUGUUCGGAAUUACUGGGCGUAAAGGGCUCGUAGGUGGUCAACUAAGUCGGACGUGAAAUCCCUCGGCUUAACCGGGGAACUGCGUCCGAUACUGGAUGACUUGAGUUCGGGAGAGGGAUGCGGAAUUCCAGGUGUAGCGGUGAAAUGCGUAGAUAUCUGGAGGAACACCGGUGGCGAAGGCGGCAUCCUGGACCAACACUGACGCUGAGGAGCGAAAGCCAGGGGAGCAAACGGG